UUGGGGCGUCGGCAAGUGGCAAGCCAUCGGUUUUUGGUACCGACAUUCGUAGGUUCGAAUCCUACCGCCCCAGUCC
rnacentral:tRNA from 1 species